rnacentral:rRNA from 1 species
UAUGGUCCUUUUGUUCCAGCCGCCGCGGUAAUACGUAGGGAGCAAGCGUUGUCCGGAUUUACUGGGUGUAAAGGGUGCGUAGGCGGAUUGGCAAGUCAGAAGUGAAAUCCAUGGGCUUAACCCAUGAACUGCUUUUGAAACUGUUAGUCUUGAGUGAAGUAGAGGUAGGCGGAAUUCCCGGUGUAGCGGUGAAAUGCGUAGAGAUCGGGAGGAACACCAGUGGCGAAGGCGGCCUACUGGGCUUUAACUGACGCUGAGGCACGAAAGUGUGGGUAGCAAACAGG